UACGAAGGGGGCUAGCGUUGCUCGGAAUCACUGGGCGUAAAGGGUGCGUAGGCGGGUUUUUAAGUCAGGGGUGAAAUCCUGGAGCUCAACUCCAGAACUGCCUUCGAUACUGGAAGACUCGAGUCCGGGAGAGGUGAGUGGAACUGCGAGUGUAGAGGUGAAAUUUCGUAGAUAUUCGCAAGAACACCAGUGGCGAAGGCGGCUCACUGGCCCGGUACUGACGCUGAGGUGCGAAAGCGUGGGGGAGCAAACAGG
rnacentral:rRNA from 1 species